UCCUGCAAUAGUGGCAGAAGGUGCAAUUUCCUUUCCAAAUUCAACUUUCAAUUUCUGAAAUGUUACAAUAUCUCCCCCUUGGGAACAUUCGUCCUCAAAUGAGACUAAAGCUAGCAUGAAUAGAGUAGGGAGAGAGACUGAAAAUCCAACAUGAAUGCAAAUCACAUCAAAAUGCAAAUAAAUAAGGAGAAAUUACUCCAUG
rnacentral:lncRNA from 1 species